UGGGGAAUAUUGGGCAAUGGGCGCAAGCCUGACCCAGCAACGCCGCGUGAGGGAAGAAGGUCUUCGGAUCGUAAACCUCUGUCCUUGGGGACGAAAAAAAUGACGGUACCCAAGGAGGAAGCUCCGGCUAACUACGUGCCAGCAGCCGCGGUAAUACGUAGGGAGCGAGCGUUGUCCGGAAUUAUUGGGCGUAAAGGGUGCGUAGGCGGCAUGGCAAGUCAGAUGUGAAAUUCCCGGGCUUAACUCGAGGGGUGCAUUUGAAACUGAUGUGCUUGAGUGCAGGAGAGGAAAGCGGAAUUCCUAGUGUAGCGGUGAAAUGCGUAGAUAUUAGGAGGAACACCAGUGGCGAAGGCGGCUUUCUGGACUGUAACUGACGCUGAGGCACGAAAGCGUGGGGAGCAAACAG
rnacentral:rRNA from 1 species